rfam:Gossypium raimondii Chr03_contig_56, whole genome shotgun sequence.
UGUUGAAACAUUCAUUCCUUUGUACUAUUAAAAAUUGAUGUGACUGAUAAAAAAAUCAAACAAUAACAUGUGGCAUGUCACGAGCAUCUCUUGUUAACGUACAAAGACUAGUUUUUAAUAGCAGAAUGGAUGUAAUUUAAUA